rnacentral:rRNA from 1 species
GGCGAAGUCCGUGGCAGCAGCAGCGGGAAUACGGAGGAUCCAAGGGUUAUCCGGAUUUAUUGGGUUUAAGGGGGGCGUAGGUGGCUUAAUAAGUCAGGGGUGAAAGACAGCGGCUCAACCGAUGCAGUGCCUUUGAUACUGUUGAGCUUGAAUUAUGUUGAAGAUGGCGGAAUGAGACAAGUAGCGGUGAAAUGCAUAGAUAUGUCUCAGAACACCGAUUGCGAAGGCAGCUGUCUAAACAUGGAUUGACACUGAUGCACGAAAGCGUGGGGAUCAAACAGGAUUAGAUACCCUGUAGUC